CCCUGCCCUGGGGUCAGAGGAGGCCUCCAAGGCCCGAGGGCCUGGAGACCUAGCUUCCUGCCCUUUAUCUGUCACCCUGGGCAAAUGGCUGUUGUUUUUAAGUAGCCUCUCAAGACCCGGAGAUCAAGAGGCCAUGCUCCACCAACUGAGCCCAACAGGCGCUCUGCCCUGGCUGCCUACCAAAUCCUUGCUCUGGAAACCAAGCCUUCCGCCUUUGCUCUGAGCUUCCCGGCUUUGCAACCCCACCCAGUCUCCCCCGUGGCGUUUGCUGAAAAACUACAAGUCCCAUUAGGCCCUGCUGCCGGUUGCCCCACCACCACCACCACCACCAAGACAGCGCAAGAGCUAAGGGAAGCCUUCUGGACGUGCCACAGCCUAAGUCUGAUGUGCUUCCUGGACUCCCGCAGCUCCCUGCACAGUCUUGUCUCCACCCUAGACUGUGAGAGCCCCCCACCACCAGUAUGGGCACACUGGCUGCCUGGUUCAGCACUUGGCAGCAAGGAGGUCCCCGUCAAUGUGCUUGAGCGCACAGAUAAAGGUGUUUCCAGGU